rnacentral:tRNA from 1 species
GUCACUUUGGCGGAGUGGUUAACGCGCUGCCCUGCUAUUGUUCAGUUAGGCAGUUCCUUCGGGAGCGUAGGUUCGAAUCCUGCAGGUGACG